GAUGAACGCUGGCGGCGUGCCUAAUACAUGCAAGUCGAGCGAACAGACGAGGAGCUUGCUCCUCUGACGUUAGCGGCGGACGGGUGAGGAACACGUGGAUAACCUACCUAUAAGACUGGGAUAACUUCGGGAAACCGGAUCUAAUACCGGAUAAUAUAUUGAACCGCAUGGUUCAAUAGUUAGAGUCGGUUUUGCUGUGACUAAUAGAUGGAUCCGCGCCUCAUUAGCUAGUUGGUAAGGGAACGGCUUACCAAGGCAACGAUGCGUAGCCGACCUGAGAGGGUGGUCCGACACACUGGCACUGAGACUCGGUCCAGACUCCUACGGGAGGCCGCAGUCGGGAAUCCUACGCAAUGGGCGAAAGCCUAACGGAGCAACGUCGCGUGAGUCAUGAAGGUCUUCGGAUGGUAAAACUCUGUUAUUCGGAAAGAACAAAUGUGUAAGUACCUAUGCACGUAUUGACGGUACCUAAUCAGAAAGCCACGGCUAACUACGUG
rnacentral:rRNA from 1 species